rnacentral:rRNA from 1 species
CGCGUGCACUGGUUCGGCCGGGCCUUUCCUUCUGCGGAACGGCAUGCCCUUCACUGGGCGUGUUUUGGGAAGCAGGACUUUUACUUUGAAAAAAUUAGAGUGUUCAAAGCAGGCCUUUGCUCGAAUACAUUAGCAUGGAAUAAUGGAAUAGGACGGCGCUCCUAUUUUGUUGGUUUCUAGGAGAGCCGUAAUGAUUAAUAGGGACAGUUGGGGGCAUCCGUAUUCAGUUGUCAGAGGUGAAAUUCUUGGAUUUACUGAAGACGAACUACUGCGAAAGCAUUUGCCAAAGAUGUUUUCAUUAAUCAGUGAACGAAAGUUAGGGGAUCGAAGACGAUCAGAUACCGUCGUAGUCUUAACCAUAAACCAUGCCGACUAGGGAUCGGGCGAUGUUAUUGUAUUGACUCGCUCGGCACCUUUCGAGAAAUCAAAGUGUUUGGGUUCUGGGGGGAGUAUGGUCGCAAGGCUGAAACUUAAAGAAAUUGACGGAAGGGCACCACCAGGAGUGGAGCCUGCGGCUUAAUUUGACUCAACACGGGGAAACUCACCAGGUCCAGAUACACGUAGGAUUGACAGAUUGAGAGCUCUUACUUGAUUGUGUAGUUGGUGGUGCAUGGCCGUUCUUAGUUGGUGGAGUGAUUUGUCUGCUUAAUUGCGAUAACGAACGAGACCUUCAUCGUUAACUAGCCCGGCUCGCCUUGGCGGGUCGCCGGCUUCUUAGCGAGACUUUUGG